UUCCCCAGAAGGAGCGAUUGAGUGAGUUCAUCUUGGCUCACAGUUUGAGGGGUACGACGUCUGCUGAAGAUGGAGAGCCAUGGUGUCGGGUCUUCACCCAUGGCGACAAGAGCUCGUAGUGUGGCUUGUGGUGAAGAAGAGUGCUCACGCUGGAAGCAGAGGUGACCAGUAACCCUCAAGGCUCAUGCCACACUGUUUCUAAUUCUCAUUGCCUGAAGUGUCCAUAACUACUCAGAAUGGCAGCACCACCUGGAUACCAGGUGACCACACACUUAAGCUUGUGAGAGAUGUUUCCUGUGCGAAUCACAGCACCUCCUGUUUCUCUUCUUGCAAGGGAUAUGGUUUUGAAUGGCUGAUGCUGCCAUCACUUUGUGCCAUUGGAUUUUGGGGGAGCAUGAAUGCCUGGGGCAGAUUUCACCGGAGGACAUCAAGAGAGGCAGCCCUAGGAAUUCACAGAAAUUGGUAAGCAGUACUAGUUAGAACGCAUUAAGCAUCAGAAAUGUUAAUUGCGUAAUGUUUUUAGAACCCUACUAAUGAUUCUUUCUUCCACUUUGAAAACGAGAAACAGGGGGGCUUAGAAACUUGCCCAGAGCCAUACAGUCGGAGGUUUGAACCUGAAUGAUCUUAUCUUCAUGAGCCUUGCUGAUUACCUUAAAAAUAAAAAUAAAAAAA
rnacentral:lncRNA from 1 species